rnacentral:lncRNA from 12 species
GUAAGAAGGCCCAUCUCAGAAGGCUGUUGAGGGGAUUAAACCAGAUACGCGUGUAAUGUUCUUAGUGUUGUGCCAGGCACACUGCAAAUAUUCAAUAAAUGGCAGCAUUAUGAUUGUCACCAACCACCACCUGCGGACGGUGUUUUCUUUAUACCUCACCUUUUGAAUCAGUCAAUUCUGCAACUAGCUCAGAAAGUUCCCUUCCCGGGGCUGGAUUACAACACAGGAGGCAGAAGCCAAGACGGCAGGAAGGCAGGAACCAGCUCUUACCCCAGCAAGGGGGGAGGUGGGAACACCUGGGACUCCAGGAUGGAGCCGCCGCACCUGUGAUGCCCUCUAGUGGAAGGAUGAGGCUUCGGAACCCAGGUGUGCAAGGAGGCAGGUGGACCCCAAUGUGCUGCAAGGGCCAGGUGCGUUUUCCCGACAUCCAAACUCAGUUCUCCUGAAACACAGCCCGGGAGCAACGUGAUCGGAAUCGCAGGCAAUGCAAACAGGAACGUGUCUUCAGGCAUUUCCCCAAAUACUCGCUAAUUACGGAGAGAGAGAACACACUCAGAAGGACAGAUCAUGCUCUGAUUAUUUCACUGCAUUGUCCAUUGCGGAUGUGUCUUGUCGCCUGCCCUGCCAGAGGAAAAAUCUACGCGUGGGCACAGUGGGGUCAGGGCGGUGCCAGGCACAGUGGGACGACAGGAGGCGUCCAGUCCCAGAGAGGGAACUGGCCUUUCCAGACUGACCCUCAGGAACAACUGGACAGCAAGAGAGAAGAUGAUUCAUAAUAAGGAGCUAAGUUAUUUGUCGAGUGAGUUUAAAGGAGCAGGAUGUGAAUGAGGGUUCAGGUAAUCCAGGAUGGCUUUGUGGAGGAGGCACCUGAGCCAGAGCUUACUAGGUCUCAUAAAAAUAAGAAGCAAAAUACAAUUAAAAAGAAGCAAACUAAAAUAAAAGGAACAAAGAGUUACAGUAACAGCAACUGCUCACACCCCUUGGGCUCUCCCAGGUGCUGGCAGUCCGGAAGACAAGUGUAUCAUGUGCGCCCUCUCGAAGUCUCACUAGUGUCCCCACUGGCCAACCUCAGCCAGGGCCCAGAGCACAGUGGGAUCUGCUCCCCGGAAGACAGGAAGGAGAAAAAAGACGGAAGGGUGACCUGGAGAGCCGGACCGCAGGUGGCCCUGAGAGCACAUACGCUUGGCUUCGGAUGUGGCUUCAGACUUAUGGAAGAGGAGCACAAAAAUUCUCAAGAUCCCUCCACCUAGGUUCCCCACAUGUGAGUGAAUCUUUACCUUGCUUGCUGGACCCGCCCUCCACGCCACACAGAGACACACGCACAGAAAACCGCAGACAAGAUCCACCUCCACCACUGAACACUACCCUGUAUGCUUCUUGAACAAGGGGUUCUCCUCCGUAACAGCAGCACAACUGUCAGGAUCUGGGAGCCAGUGAGUACAUGGUCCCGUGGGCUGAUCUGCAGACGCUGCUCAGGUUCCCCUGUGACCCUGGGAAAGCUCAGGCUACUGGAAAUGGGUGCAGCUCCACUUUCAUCACCCACCUGCCCAUCUUCUCGGCGCCCUCCCUGCGGUACUGCUCAGUUUGGGUCCACUUCUGAUGUCUUAUUUCAGAACCAGGAGGAAUGCUGAGGACAAAGUGUUGUGUACGGGCUUCUCUUUCUGUAAUAAAGCUCAGUUUCGUGCAAUACUCGAAAGCCUC